rnacentral:rRNA from 1 species
UACGUAGGGUGCGAGCGUUAAUCGGAAUUACUGGGCGUAAAGCGUGCGCAGGCGGUUAUGUAAGACCGAUGUGAAAUCCCCGGGCUUAACCUGGGAACUGCAUUGGUGACUGCAUUGCUGGAGUAUGGCAGAGGGGGGUGGAAUUCCACGUGUAGCAGUGAAAUGCGUAGAUAUCGGGAGGAACACCAGUGGCGAAGGCGACUUCCUGGCCUGUUCUUGACGCUGAGGCGCGAAAGCUAGGGGAGCAAACGGG